rnacentral:rRNA from 1 species
GCUCGUAGUUGGAUUUGUGGCUGUCGCGUGCGACCCGACACCUAGUGUUGGUGUUUGCUUGCGUCGCCAUCCUUGGGUGGAACCUGUGUGGCAUUAGGUUGUCGUGCAGGGGAUGCCCAUCGUUUACUGUGAAAAAAUUAGAGUGUUCAAAGCAGGCUUAUGCCGUUGAAUAUGUUAGCAUGGAAUAAUAAGAUAGGACCUUGGUACUAUUUUGUUGGUUUGCGCACCAAGGUAAUGAUUAAUAGGGACAGUUGGGGGUAUUCGUAUUCCAUUGUCAGAGGUGAAAUUCUUGGAUUUUUGGAAGACGAACUACUGCGAAAGCAUUUACCAAGGAUGUUUUCAUUAAUCAAGAACGAAAGUUAGGGGAUCGAAGAUGAUUAGAUACCAUCGUAGUCUUAACCAUAAACUAUGCCGACAAGGGAUUGGCGGAGUUUCGUUUUGUCUCCGUCAGCACCUUAUGAGAAAUCACAAGUCUUUGGGUUCCGGGGGGAGUAUGGUCGCAAGGCUGAAACUUAAAGAAAUU